rnacentral:lncRNA from 1 species
UAUGUUGUCAUCUAUAUGUGUAUGUAUGAAUCAAUAAUAUUUUUUGUUUAAAAAACUAAACCAAACUAAAUCGCACUGGUUUUGUUCAGUUUUAUUUCUACAAGCCAACAAACCAAGCUAAAGCGCAUGUUUUUUCUCUUGCGGUUCAUAUGAGUUUUAGCAUAAGCCUGCAUUAUAUAUUACUACAAAGAAAACCGUAAAUAAUAGUUAAAUCUUAUGAAUCUGACAUAUAUCCCACUACUUAGGCCUUCAUGCUCUAAC